GUUUCCUACAUGGUGCAAAGAGAGAAACAUUUUUCAUACCUGCUGUUAUCCUACAAAUGCUGCAUCUGCUCUCUUGGAUGAUCUGCUUGAGAAUAACAGAAUCUGCAGCUGUGCUUUCUGUGGGCAACCUGACAAUACCUGUGCAGUUCCUGGGCAUGAACUCUGAGGAUGUAUUCAUGGUUCAAGGCAUCAGCUUUGGUGAAAGUGUUGCCUGAGCAGAUGCAACGUGGUGAAGCAGUAACAAAAAUCUAUAAUAAUGUUUUCUAAACAAUUUCAUGCUGUUGGAAAAUUACACUUUGCUUGUGUGUUUGUUGUGCUAAAUGAAGCAGAUGCAUUUCACAAUGACAGAACAGUUUCAGCAGUAAUCUCAAUAAGAGAAGAUGUUACAAUUUCCUGACUUUUUUUUUGUACUUAUGUUUUUCAGUAGCAAUAAUGUGUAAAAUUACUUUUUAAUUAUGAUUGAUUUUGUUUAAGUUAUGUCCAACAACAACAGUAAUACAGAAGAUAAUGUUUUCUUACAUACAGCAAGGCUAUAUUAAUCUUUAUUGAUACUGUUCAUCACUUGCUAAAGGGCACAGCUAAUGGUGGUGGUUCUGCUGAAAAAGAGCGUUUUGUAGCUGAGAAUUUGCUCUCUCAGAUAGUGUUGUUGUGCUCUUUGUAUCUGUUGUAGUUUCCAUAGAAAUGAUACUUCCCUGUUUUCAAGGAAGUUUUAUUUCUUCUUUUAUCUGAUGUAUUUUAUGUUAUUGCUAGUGACUCUCAGUGUGUAUCUGAAUAUUCUACUGGGCAGCAUCAGAUCAGUUUUUACCGAGUUCAGUCAUAUCAGAUGACUGAGGUACCCUCCUCGUGUGUCAGCAGUAGCAGCAUUUCAAUUGAUAUCUGAUUUUUCUUAAAAAAAACCUUAUUGAGAUAUGAGAUUAUACACAAUUUUCAUUAUUUUAUGUAAGCAUCAGCAUCGUUUAUAUAAAUAGCAAGGUUUUACUUUACCAUUAGUGGAACAAAUCUCUAAGGCCUAGCAGUAGAAGAGUGUCAAGUUGACAAGUAAUUAAGAAUUUCAGUGUGAUUUAACUUGACAGAGAAAAAUGCGGAUUGUUUCUUAGAACCACCUGUCUUAUUUAAGAGACUCAUUAUCCAUAAAAUGAUUUUAAUGAUCCUUCUCAGCCUUGAAAGAAAAUGUUCUAUGCUUAUAUCUACAGUAUGAAAAGAGAUGAUGGUUAAGAGAUGGUUGGGGGUUCUCUCUAAGAUUUGCAGGGGCUCAUUACGAUUUAUAACACCUCUCUCAGUAUGGAAAAAUGUUUCAUAAUGGACAUCUCUCAGCAGGAUGCUGGGAGCUCUGCAGAGAUAAUUGCUGUUCAGCAGUCUGCAAUGAGUGUUCUGCAAGUGUGUAAUCAAAUGUGCAGUGUUCACAAGAGUGAAUGGACUUGGGAAAAUGAAUGCGAUUCUCUCACCUGCCAAGAAAGCCUUUGUCUUCAGCAUCACACAGGAGUUACACAGAGGUUUUGUUUUUACUUUCCCCUUGUAGGAGUGAAAGCAUUCCCCCAUUCCUUCUCAUCUUUUUGUUAUCUGAUGCAAUUUUAUUUUGGAAUAAGGUAAAUAUUAUAUAAUGACUGUAAACAUGUAUCAGUCUUCUUGCUUUCAUUCCAUAUUCCAUUCCAACCUAUUUCCCAUCACCUUCAUCUCAUCUUCACUUUUUUUUAACAUUCCAUAAUCCCUCCAUCCCUGCCCUGCCCGUCUGCUUUAUUUUUCACUCAUCCUUUGUCUAGUGCCGCCCACUCAGUUCUUCCUGUCUUUUUAUUUGUCCUUAACAAUUCUGUUUGUCUGUUUCCAAAUUCCUUUCUGUCUUCUCCUGUCCAUCUUUCCUUUACUCAGAAUCUCCCUUUCUUUCCAUGGAACUCUACUGGAAUCCCUGUUGCUAUCCUUGAAAUUCAGAAGCAUUUUUGUAACCUCUGACAUGAAUUAGUCCUUGGCAGUGUGAAUCAGUCUGUGAAGCCAGAAGAUUUUAUGAAACCAGUCAUCUAGCAGGGACUCCAUGUAUACAGUUGUCUCUUGUCUUUUUGUCUGCUAGCUGUCCCAGUUGCAUCACUCCCAGCAUCCUUCCACUGCAUGAGCAAGAAGAGGGGAAAGGCUGCAAUGAUAUUUCUGUUGCUUUUCAGCAUGUAAAGCUACAGCAGUCAGGAAAAAGCUGCUCUCAUUCCAAGCAGGGGAAGCUGUAUGUUUCUUCAUAACAAGCACUGGGAAAUUAUGGGAUGAAGAGGAGGGGACAGGGACAAGAAUAAAGAGGACAGCAUUUACUUCUUACUGGGACUAUGCUCAUCACCCUCUGUUCAGCUUUACACCUAGCUUUAUUAGAUCAACACCUCUGUCAACUUGCCAAGCAGCUGCCACGUUUUCUUGAUGUAUGUCAGCCUCAUGUGUGAGGGAAAAGCAACACUGAAUGGAAGUGGCAAUUUCAAAAGAUGAUUCUUGUACUGUGGACUUGUGAUUUCUUUAUAAGCAAAUGAUUGUGGAAAAUUAAUAUACUGAGAUGGGAAAACAGAAAGCAUGUUAGAGCACUCAGCAGUGGUUUGCAGAUCUGUCUGCUGUUCACAUUGUGGAGAAAAGUGUGUCAGAGCAGAUCUCUGAACAGUUCAGUUGCUUGAUUCCUUUCUCUGUGCAAAGCGAUAAAGAACAGAGUGCUCUUCUACCUCCAUGAACCUCACCCUGACAGGACCCACUGUUUUCUGCCAUUUGAUCUCCUUCCAGCCACAAAAUCCUCAUGAGCAGAAUUUCUCAAGACUGACCCAAGUCACAGAACAGCACCUGGAACAGGGACUGCAUGUCCCACAACUGCCAAGAAAGUGAAGCUUUCCUGACACCGUUUCACUGUUGGAAAUCUGGAAGGCCUGAAUCAUAGAAUCAUAGAAUUACCCAGACAAAUUACUCCCCAUGAAUAAUGGUUUGUCAGCUAAAUAAAAUGUGAGACUGAAGCAGAUAUAUUAGUGCCGCUACUUCAUAACAACAACGUUCAGGUAAGACAGCAUACACAAGGAAAGAAGUAAGCAUGGUUUUUGGGAAGUAGAAUACCUGAGAUGGAUUGAGGCACAGAACUCCACGAUAUGGGGAAGCAGACCAGUGCCUUGUGUAGAUGGCUGCAGUAGCUAAGAAGCUUACUUAGUAAUGCUAUUUUGUUUGAUACAAGACAAAUCUAAUCGUAUUGCAGGGCUGAACUGAUAUGGAGCAAUAUGUGUUGAUGUGCAGUGAAUUAUAUCAAUAUGGGUAAACAAAUACCCAAAGGGCUUUGAUAAUAAUACUAUAAUAAUCAUACGUUAUUCCCUAAAAUAGUAGGAUUAGACCAAAUAUGCUUUAAGCAGGAAACAUGACAUGGCCAUAAUGAAGAUGCAUUGAACUGUAAAAAGAGUGACAGCAAAUAAAUUAAAUCCAAUACGUACAACAGGAUUUUAAUACUUUUAAAUCACUGUCAGUUCUGAUUACCACACACCUCCAUAAAAUGAAAGCACACCUGCACGUCAAUAAAGAAUUGGUUGGCUGCUUUAUUAAGCGCACACUGGAUGCUGCAAAACAUUACUG